UGCACUAGCGACUGACUCUAGAAGCUGUAGCCUUUAAACUCCUAGAUAGCGUGCCUGCCUCUCAUGCCGGAGACUCCGGUGGUGGUUUUGACCACCACCAAUCCACCCCCCCCCGUCAACAACUUUGGAGGUGUGUUGAAGCGGGUUUCGCACAGGGCGCCAUACAAGCUAGAACUGCCACUGCACAAUGGAAAAUAAACUCCUCUAAAAGGAACAGAAUUGCGCUGAUUCUACCCACAUGAUAACACAACGCAGACCAAUUAUGCCUGGUUGCAUUUGUGCCGUGAACAAGCCGGAUCUUCUGAUCAACGCUCGUCAGAUUGCCGGAGUACUUCAGCGUGUAUUGUAUCAGCAACCAAUUUCAUUGCAUAUGGACACAUUGCACAUGACAUGUACUCUGAGAUUGCAAAUUAAUGAUGAAUUAGACAUGAAUGAAUGGACACUGAUACAUGCACGGACACAGUUGAAUACAAAUACUGUUUUCACUAUAUCUUCACAGUAAGCAAAUUGAUUGUGGGAAAUUUGUCUUUAUGCUUGAGACUGUUUUAUACCAAUAUUAAGAGGACCAAAGACAAGUAAUUGUUGUUUUGUCAUACAUGAUUUGUAUUGAAAUAAUUAAUGUGUAAAUCA